rnacentral:rRNA from 1 species
AGUGAACGCUGGCGGUAGGCCUAACACAUGCAAGUCGAACGGCAGCACAGUAAGAGCUUGCUCUUACGGGUGGCGAGUGGCGGACGGGUGAGGAAUACAUCGGAAUCUACUUUUUCGUGGGGGAUAACGUAGGGAAACUUACGCUAAUACCGCAUACGACCUACGGGUGAAAGCAGGGGAUCUUCGGACCUUGCGCGAUUGAAUGAGCCGCUGUCGGAUUAGCUAGUUGGCGGGGUAAUGGCCCACCAAGGAGACGAUCCGUAGCUGGUCGGAGCGGAUGAUCGGCCACAUUGGAACGUAGACACGGACCAGACGCCUACGGGAGGCACCAGUGGGGAAUAUGAGACAAUGGUCGCAAGCCUGAUCCAGCCAUACCGCGUGUGUGAAGAAGACCUUCGGGUUGGAAAGCCCUUUUGUUGGGAAAGAAAAGCAGCAGGUUAAUACCCCGCUGUUCUGACGGUACCCAAAGAAUAAGCACCGGCUAACUUCGUG